rnacentral:rRNA from 1 species
CCUACGGGUGGCUGCAGUCGAGAAUCUUCGGCAAUGGGCGAAAGCCUGACCGAGCGACGCCGCGUGCGGGAUGAAGGCCUUCGGGUUGUAAACCGCUGUCAAUGGGGAGGAAGGCUGCGUGAAGAGCGCAGUUUGACCUAUCUUUGGAGGAAGGACGGGCUAAGUUCGUGCCAGCAGCCGCGGUAAGACGAACCGUCCAAACGUUAUUCGGAAUUACUGGGCUUAAAGGGUGCGUAGGCGGUGCUACAAGUCGGGUGUGAAAUCCCUCAGCUUAA